GUGGGGAAUCUUGCGCAAUGGGCGAAAGCCUGACGCAGCCAUGCCGCGUGAAUGAUGAAGGUCUUAGGAUUGUAAAAUUCUUUCACCGGGGACGAUAAUGACGGUACCCGGAGAAGAAGCUCCGGCUAACUUCGUGCCAGCAGCCGCGGUAAUACGAAGGGGGCUAGCGUUGCUCGGAAUUACUGGGCGUAAAGGGCGCGUAGGCGGACAGCUUAGUCAGAGGUGAAAGCCCAGGGCUCAACCUUGGAAUUGUCUUUGAUACUGGCUGUCUUGAGUUUGGGAGAGGUGAGUGGAACUCCGAGUGUAGAGGUGAAAUUCGUAGAUAUUCGGAAGAACACCAGUGGCGAAGGCGACUCACUGGCCCAAUACUGACGCUGAGGCGCGAAAGCGUGGGGAGCAAACAGGAUUAGAAACCCUAGUAGUCC
rnacentral:rRNA from 1 species